rnacentral:rRNA from 1 species
UACGUAGGGGGCCAGCGUUGUUCGGAAUUACUGGGUGUAAAGGGUUCGUAGGCGGUGUGGCAAGUCGGGAGUGAAAUCUCGGAGCUUAACUCCGAAACUGCAUUCGAUACUGCCGUGCUUGAGGACUGGAGAGGAGACUGGAAUUUACGGUGUAGCGGUGAAAUGCGUAGAUAUCGUAAGGAAGACCAGUGGCGAAGGCGGGUCUCUGGACAGUUCCUGACGCUGAGGCACGAAGGUCAGGGGAGCAAACGGG